rnacentral:rRNA from 1 species
GAUGAACGCUGGCGGCGUGCCUAAUACAUGCAAGUCGAGCGAACAGACGAGGAGCUUGCUCCUCUGACGUUAGCGGCGGACGGGUGAGUAACACGUGGAUAACCUACCUAUAAGACUGGGAUAACUUCGGGAAACCGGAGCUAAUACCGGAUAACAUGUUGAACCGCAUGGUUCAACAGUGAAAGACGGUCUUGCUGUCACUUAUAGAUGGAUCCGCGCCGCAUUAGCUAGUUGGUAAGGUAACGGCUUACCAAGGCAACGAUGCGUAGCCGACCUGAGAGGGUGAUCGGCCACACUGGAACUGAGACACGGUCCAGACUCCUACGGGAGGCAGCAGUAGGGAAUCUUCCGCAAUGGGCGAAAGCCUGACGGAGCAACGCCGCGUGAGCGAUGAAGGUCUUCGGAUCGUAAAACUCUGUUAUUAGGGAAGAACAAAUGUGUAAGUAACUAUGCACGUCUUGACGGUACCUAAUCAGAAAGCCACGGCUAACUACGUG